rnacentral:rRNA from 1 species
AGCCAUAGCAAUAUCACCCUGCAGCCCAAGACUGGUUGCCCACUGAAGCUAAGCAGGGUUGAGCCUGGUCAGUACCUGAAUGGGAAACCUCCUGGGAAAACUAGUUUGCUGUUGGAA